UAGGGAAUAUUGCGCAAUGGACGAAAGUCUGACGCAGCAACGCCGCGUGGGUGAUGAAGUUUUUCGGAAUGUAAAACCCUGUCGGUGGGGAAGAAACGCACGAGUAGUAACUGGCUCGUGCCUGACGGUACCCACAAAGGAAGUCCCGGCUAACUCCGUGCCAGCAGCCGCGGUAAUACGGGGGGGACGAGCGUUGUUCGGAUUUACUGGGCGUAAAGGGCGCGUAGGCGGACCUUCAAGCCGGAUGUGAAACCCCCGGGCUUAACGCGGGGCCUGCAUUUGAUACGGUUGGUCUUGAGUACAGGAGAGGAGAGUGGAAUUCCAGGUGUAGCGGUGAAAUGCGUAGAUAUCUGGAAGAACACCAGUAGCGAAGGCGGCUCUCUGGACUGAUACUGACGCUCAAGCGCGAAGGGUUGGGGAGCAAUCAGG
rnacentral:rRNA from 1 species